rnacentral:lncRNA from 1 species
CCUGUGCAGCCUCAGACGCACGGCUGCACGGAGACUUGGAGAAAAAGCAGUUCAUGCUGCUGAAUCCUCAGGAAGUUUGUUUCCAGUUGAGACAUUCCUCAGCAUGAAGGACUAAGAGUCUAGGCCUUGCCAUCCCUGCAGACUCAGGGAGCCUCUGAGAGCACCUGGGAUAGGAGAAAGGGAACAGCCAUGGAGAGCCAAGGGUGCACUGGGGACCCUGGAAGUGACUGUGGGCCUGGCCCAGAGCUUUCCAAACAGACACAACUCUGCAGUUUCCAUUCCACUCCAGAACAAGCAGACGUUCUGGUGGCUUAAGUCUAAGAUGAGCAGGUCUGUCUCUGCUCUGUGUCUGCAUUCUGGGGAGCUCAGCUGUGACGACCAUCUGCCCUGGAGAUGCUCAAAGAAGAGGGCUGAGGAAGCAUGCAUGCUAGAUUUAUAUACAGUCCUAUCUGGGCACCUGCUGGGAAUCCAAAAUGCCCAAGUCCUCUAUGUAAAAUGUGGUGGUGUUUGUGGAGAACUUACUCAUAUCCUUCUGUACACCUUCAAGCAUGUCUAGGU